rnacentral:lncRNA from 1 species
GUUUUUUAAGCCCGUUGGAAAAGCGCAGUAUUCGGGUGGGAGUGACCCAAUUUUCCAGGUGCCGUCUGUCACCCCUUUCUUUGACUAGGAAAGGGAACUCCCUGACCCCUUGUGCUUCCCGAGUGAGGCAAUGCCUCGCCCUGCUUCGGCUCACGCACGGUGCGCUGCACCCACUGACCUGGGCCCACUGUCUGGCACUCCGUAGUGAGAUGAACCUGGUACCUCAGAUGGAAAUGCAGAAAUCACCUGUGUUCUGCGUCACUCACGCUGGGAGCUGUAGACCGGAGCUGUUCCUAUUUGGCCAUCUUGGCUCCUCCCCCCCCCCGUAUUGUCUUGAUAAACAUCUUAAACAGCAGAAAACAGGGUUGAGACCAGAGAACUGGUCUGACCACAGAUUUACCAGGGCGGAGUUUUUCCCCACCCUAAUAAGCCUGAGGGUACUGCAGGAGACCAGGGAAUACCUCAAUCCUUAUCUCAACCACAUAAGAGAGAAACUCCCAGAGCAGCUGUUUAUAGACCUCCCCCCAGGAAUGCAUUCCUUUCCCAGGGUAUUAAUAUUAAUAUUCCUUGCUAGGAAAAGAAUUUAGCGAUAUCUCUCCUACUUGCACAUCCGUUUAUAGGCUCUCUGCAAGAAGAAAAAUAUGGCUCUUUUUGCCUGACCCCACAGGCAGUCAGACCUUAUAGUUGUCUUCCCUUGUUCCCUAAAAAUCAGUUAUUCUGUUCUUUUUCAAGGUGCACUGAUUUCAUAUUGUUCAAACACACAUGUUUUACAAUCAUUUUGUACAGUUAACACAAAUAUCACAGUGGUCCUGAGGUGACAUACAUCCUCAGCUUAUGAAGAUAACAGGAUUAAGAGAUUAAAGUAAAGACAGGCAUAAGAAAUUAUAAAAGUAUUAUUUGGGAACUGAUAAAUGUCCAUGAAAUUUUCACAAUUCAUGUUCCUUUGCUGUGGCUCCAGCCGGUCCCUCCGUUCGGGGUCCCUGACUUUCCACAACACACAAGAAAAUUUAAAAAAUUUAAAACCAACUAUUCCUCCAAAAAUUAAAAAUAGAAAUAUCAUGUGAUCCAGGAAUUUCACUCUUCAGUAUAUACUCAGAAGAACUGGAAGCAGGGAUGUGAACAUAAAUGUGUACAUCACUGUUCAUAGCAUUAUUCACAGUAGUUAAAAAGGGGAAACAGCCCAAAUGUCCAUCAACAGAUGAAUGGAUGAACAAAAUGGGAUAUUUAAGUUAUGUACAAUGGAACAUUAUUCAGCCAUAGAAAAGAAUGAAAUUCUGAUACGUGCUGCAACAUGGGUGAACCUUAAAAACACUGUGCUAAGUGAAAUAACCCAGACAAAGGGAAAAUAUAAUAUGAUUCCACUUGUAUGAAGUACCUAGACUAGGCAGAUUUGUGAGCGACAGAAAGUGCCACAGACGUUACCAGAGGCUGAGAGUAAGGGGCAAUGGGGAGGGAGGUAUUGUUUAAUGGGUACAGAGCUUCAGUGUGGGAAGAUGAAAAAGUCCUGGAAGAUGAAAGAAAAAAUUCUGGAAAAUUAUAGUAGUGAUAGGUUACCUAAUAUUGUGAAAGUACUUAAUGCUACUGAAUUAUACACUAAAAAAUUGUUAAAGUGGUAAAUUUUGUUACAUGUAUUUUACUGGAAUGAAAACAAUUAAAACCAUCUAUAAAUCAUGGUAUCCAGAGGAAACAAUAAGUAUUUUGGCUGAUUUUAACACUUUUUUUCCCCUGUAGAUAUGUGUUUUAUAAAAUUUGGCUAAUAAUACUAUGCAUGUAAUCCUGAGCUCUUGAAUUUUACAUUUUAAUUGUAUUUUCCUUAUCAUUAAAUACAAUGAAAUCAC